rnacentral:rRNA from 1 species
AUUCAAAAAACGAACGGGUGAGUAACGCGUGGAUGAUCUACCUAUGAGAUGGGGAUAACUAUUAGAAAUAGUAGCUAAUACCGAAUAAGGUCAGUUAAUUUGUUAAUUGAUGAAAGGAAGCCUUUAAAGCUUCGCUUGUAGAUGAGUCUGCGUCUUAUUAGCUAGUUGGUAGGGUAAAUGCCUACCAAGGCAAUGAUAAGUAACCGGCCUGAGAGGGUGAACGGUCACACUGGAACUGAGAUACGGUCCAGACUCCUACGGGAGGCAGCAGCUAAGAAUCUUCCGCAAUGGGCGAAAGCCUGACGGAGCGACACUGCGUGAAUGAAGAAGGUCGAAAGAUUGUAAAAUUCUUUUAUAAAUGAGGAAUAAGCUUUGUAGGAAAUGACAAAGUGAUGACGUUAAUUUAUGAAUAAGCCCCGGCUAAUUACGUGCCCCCACCCGCGGUAAUACGUAAGGGGCGAUUUUUUGU